UAAAAUGGGAGGAGUCCAUCAUGAUUCCAUGCAGAGUAAGUUGUCAACAACUCCCCUUGGCCAUAAGGGAGCGACUUUCGCCCCUAAGGGCUUCCAAAGCCCUAGGCCCAAAAGAGCCUAUAUAAAUACCUCUCACUUAAGUAGAGGGAAGGAAUAUCUUAACUCAUAUAUAUCACACCAUACAUACACUUAUACUUAAGCACACCAUUCACAAACAGAGCCUCACACCUCACUUGAG
rnacentral:lncRNA from 1 species